rnacentral:rRNA from 1 species
UACGAAGGGGGCUAGCGUUGCUCGGAAUCACUGGGCGUAAAGGGUGCGUAGGCGGGGCUUUAAGUCAGGGGUGAAAUCCUGGAGCUCAACUCCAGAACUGCCUUUGAUACUGGCGAUCUUGAGUCCGGGAGAGGUGAGUGGAACUCCGAGUGUAGAGGUGAAAUUCGUAGAUAUUCGGAAGAACACCAGUGGCGAAGGCGGCUCACUGGCCCGGUACUGACGCUGAUGUGCGAAAGCGUGGGGAGCAAACAGG